GACGAACGCUGGCGGCGUGCUUAACACAUGCAAGUCGAACGGAAAGGCCCUGCUUUUGUGGGGUGCUCGAGUGGCGAACGGGUGAGUAACACGUGAGUAACCUGCCCUUGACUUUGGGAUAACUUCAGGAAACUGGGGCUAAUACCGGAUAGGAGCUCCUGCUGCAUGGUGGGGGUUGGAAAGUUUCGGCGGUUGGGGAUGGACUCGCGGCUUAUCAGCUUGUUGGUGGGGUAGUGGCUUACCAAGGCUUUGACGGGUAGCCGGCCUGAGAGGGUGACCGGCCACAUUGGGACUGAGAUACGGCCCAGACUCCUACGGGAGGCAGCAGUGGGGAAUAUUGCACAAUGGGCGGAAGCCUGAUGCAGCAACGCCGCGUGCGGGAUGACGGCCUUCGGGUUGUAAACCGCUUUCGCCUGUGACGAAGCGUGAGUGACGGUAAUGGGUAAAGAAGCACCGGCUAACUACGUGCCAGCAGCCGCGGUGAUACGUAGGGUGCGAGCGUUGUCCGGAUUUAUUGGGCGUAAAGGGCUCGUAGGUGGUUGAUCGCGUCGGAAGUGUAAUCUUGGGGCUUAACCCUGAGCGUGCUUUCGAUACGGGUUGACUUGAGGAAGGUAGGGGAGAAUGGAAUUCCUGGUGGAGCGGUGGAAUGCGCAGAUAUCAGGAGGAACACCAGUGGCGAAGGCGGUUCUCUGGGCCUUUCCUGACGCUGAGGAGCGAAAGCGUGGGGAGCGAACAGGCUUAGAUACCCUGGUAGUCCACGCUGUAAACGGUGGGUACUAGGUGUGGGGUCCAUUCCACGGGUUCCGUGCCGUAGCUAACGCUUUAAGUACCCCGCCUGGGGAGUACGGCCGCAAGGCUAAAACUCAAAGGAAUUGACGGGGCCCCGCACAAGCGGCGGAGCAUGCGGAUUAAUUCGAUGCAACGCGUAGAACCUUACCUGGGUUUGACAUGGAUCGGGAGUGCUCAGAGAUGGGUGUGCCUCUUUUGGGGUCGGUUCACAGGUGGUGCAUGGCUGUCGUCAGCUCGUGUCGUGAGAUGUUGGGUUAAGUCCCGCAACGAGCGCAACCCUUGUUCACUGUUGCCAGCACGUUAUGGUGGGGACUCAGUGGAGACCGCCGGGGUCAACUCGGAGGAAGGUGGGGGUGACGUCAAGUCAUCAUGCCCCUUAUGUCAGGGCUUCACGCAUGCUACAAUGGCUGGUACAGAGAGUGGCGAGCCUGUGAGGGUGAGCGAAUCUCGGAAAGCCGGUCUCAGUUCGGAUUGGGGUCUGCAACUCGACCUCAUGAAGUCGGAGUCGCUAGUAAUCGCAGAUCAGCAACGCUGCGGUGAAUACGUUCCCGGGGCU
rnacentral:rRNA from 1 species